UACGGAGGGGGCUAGCGUUGUUCGGAAUUACUGGGCGUAAAGCGCACGUAGGCGGCUUUGUAAGUUAGAGGUGAAAGCCCGGAGCUCAACUCCGGAAUUGCCUUUAAGACUGCAUCGCUCGAAUUGUGGAGAGGUAAGUGGAAUUCCGAGUGUAGAGGUGAAAUUCGUAGAUAUUCGGAAGAACACCAGUGGCGAAGGCGACUUACUGGACACAUAUUGACGCUGAGGUGCGAAAGCGUGGGGAGCAAACAGG
rnacentral:rRNA from 1 species